GCGAAAUGCGAUACUUGGUGUGAAUUGCAGAAUCCCGUGAACCAUCGAGUCUUUGAACGCAAGUUGCGCCUAAAGCCGUUAGGCUGAAGGCACGUCUGCUUGGGUGUCACG
rnacentral:rRNA from 1 species